AUUGAACGCUGGCGGCAUGCCUUACACAUGCAAGUCGAACGGCAGCACGGGAGCAAUCCUGGUGGCGAGUGGCGAACGGGUGAGUAAAGUAUCGGAACGUGCCCAGUCGUGGGGGAGAACGUAGCGAAAGUUACGCUAAUACCGCAUACGAUCUAUGGAUGAAAGCAGGGGAUCGCAAGACCUCGCGCGAGUGGAGCGGCCGAUAUCAGAUUAGGUAGUUGGUGGGGUAAAGGCUCACCAAGCCGACGAUCUGUAGCUGGUCUGAGAGGACGACCAGCCACACUGGGACUGAGACACGGCCCAGACUCCUACGGGAGGCAGCAGUGGGGAAUUUUGGACAAUGGGCGAAAGCCUGAUCCAGCCAUGCCGCGUGCAGGAUGAAGGCCUUCGGGUUGUAACCUGCUUUUGUACGGAACGAAAAGGUUUGGCCUAAUAAGCUGAGCUCAUGACGGUACCGUAAGAAUAAGCACCGGCUAACUACGUGCCAGCCGCCGCGGUAA
rnacentral:rRNA from 1 species